CUGCAGAGGUUACAGCUGCGAACGACGCUCUGUCACGGCCGGGCCUCCGGCUCCGCUCUGCUUCCUCUUUGCUCUGUUUUCUGUCUUUUUGCUGAUUUCUCGUUCGACUUCCUGUCCCUCGUCUAACGCCUCUGACUCAAAACUGAUGUGAAGCUCACUGCUCUCCCAGCUUCAACCCGCUGUGACGGGACAGCCCCUCUCAGCGCAUCGGCCAAUCAGAGAGCUAUGCAGAGACAAACCCACAGAGGUAGAGUACGAGCGAGAUGAGAGAAAACCCGAGGGGAAGUCUGCAGGAAUCCACAGAGCGUGAGAAGGACCGAACGCAUCAACCGCUCAGACACAACACAAUGCAGACACACAAACAACAGCUGAGGAUGCCCAUGCGACACACUUCAUGUUUGUGACCUCGAGCAGAUGUCCCAGGCUGGUUCCAGCUCCUUCAGCUUGUUUCCCGAACCAUCCGGACGCUCUACAGCCGAAGAGCUUCAGUCAUUCACCACAAACCUCAGAAGAACAGCUGACAGCAGCUGCAGGAAUCUUUAAGACCUGCAGUUUAACUGAUGUGUGUGUGUUAUCUGGCUUCAUGGACAGAUAGAGCUGGGUGUCAUCAGCAUAGCAGUGAGAAUGUAUGCUAUGCUUAAAAUGAUACUGCCUAAGGGAAGCAUGUAUAAUGUGAACAGAGUUCGAGCACUGACUGCCACAGCCGUGCGCUCAGUUUGUGAAACUUUAUCUUCAGAUACGAGUUUGACGUUUGUGUAAUACCGAUUUGCACCAGCAGAUGGUACAAAGAGUCAUCGUCACGCGCACAUUAUUAACAUCUGUAUUUAAAAAAACAUGCCAGUGCAAAAGCGAUGCUACGUCCUUCGUUUGUGUGUAUUUAACCAAACUGUGGAUCCUGAUUCAUCUCACCAGUAAAUAAAAACGCUGCAGGUUUGAAUGGAUCUGAAAGCUUCUUCUACCUGCUGAUCGUGCUGAUUAGAGCUUAUUGAUUACUGCACAUUGUUCCCAGUUUUGUUUAUUUGUCUUUUCUUUGUAUUAUUUGUUUGAUUCAUUCCUCUCGUGUCUUAUUCGCGGUUUGUGAGUCAGCUGUGAAACUCAGAGCUGCACUGACCUUCAUGAAACUUGUGCAGCUUGAAUCUGGUUAUGUUUGGUUUAUGAUGGUUAUUAAUAAUCAGCCUGAGACGUUUGACGUUCGAGCUGCAGACUGAGUUUCUGCUAUCGGCCUGACUGCUGCUCCUGAUUCUGUCGCUGCAUUUCUACCCCACACUGAAGCAACGAGCAAACUGCUGCACGACAAGUAAAAAUAAGAACAAUCGUUUAAUAAAAAAGAGAAGCUGAACCCAGUCUGAAGCUGAGCAUGACGAGGAGGAGAAGGGUUUUCUUCAGUUUGAA